GUUUUAGUAGCUUAAAUUUUAUAAAGCAUAACACUGAAGAUGUUAAGAUAGUUACCAAAUUUUAAAACA
rnacentral:tRNA from 1 species